rnacentral:tRNA from 1 species
GUUAAAAAGGCACAAUGCGUCCAAGUUUCGACCUUGGGAGUGGGAAUUUCCCUUUUAAUA